UACCACGCGUAGGCUGACAGAGCUCA
rnacentral:piRNA from 1 species